ensembl:snRNA U6 U6 spliceosomal RNA
UCGCUUCAGCAGCAAAAAAACUAAAAUUGGAAUAAUACAGAGAAGUUUAGCAUGGCCCCUGCACAAGAAUGACAUGGAAAUUCAUGAAGUGUUCCAUGUUUUU